rnacentral:rRNA from 1 species
CCUACGGGAGGCAGCAGUGAGGAAUAUUGGACAAUGGGCGCAAGCCUGAUCCAGCCAUGCCGCGUGCAGGAUGACGGUCCUAUGGAUUGUAAACUGCUUUUGCACAGGAAGAAACAACAUUACGUGUAAUGUCUUGACGGUACUGUGAGAAUAAGGAUCGGCUAACUCCGUGCCAGCAGCCGCGGUAAUACGGAGGAUCCAAGCGUUAUCCGGAAUCAUUGGGUUUAAAGGGUCCGUAGGCGGUUUAGUAAGUCAGUGGUGAAAGCCCAUCGCUCAACGGUGGAACGGCCAUUGAUACUGCUAGACUUGAAUUAUUAGGAAGUAACUAGAAUAUGUAGUGUAGCGGUGAAAUGCUUAGAGAUUACAUGGAAUACCAAUUGCGAAGGCAGGUUACUACUAAUUGAUUGACGCUGAUGGACGAAAGCGUGGGUAGCGAACAGGAUUAGAUACCCUGGUAGUCCACGCCGUAAACGAUGGAUACUAGCUGUUGGGAGCAAUUUCAGUGGCUAAGCGAAAGUGAUAAGUAUCCCACCUGGGGAGUACGUUCGCAAGAAUGAAACUCAAAUGAAAUUGACGG